rnacentral:rRNA from 1 species
GCUCGAGUGGCGAACGGGUGAGUAACACGUGAGUAACCUGCCCUUGACUUUGGGAUAACUUCAGGAAACUGGGGCUAAUACCGGAUAGGAGCUCCUGCUGCAUGGUGGGGGUUGGAAAGUUUCGGCGGUUGGGGAUGGACUCGCGGCUUAUCAGCUUGUUGGUGGGGUAGUGGCUUACCAAGGCUUUGACGGGUAGCCGGCCUGAGAGGGUGGACGGCCACAUUGGGACUGAGAUACGGCCCAG